CAAGCUCGCGAGAGUAAGCUAAUCUCUUAAAGCCGAUCUCAGUUCGGACUGUAGGCUGCAACUCGCCUACACGAAGUCGGAAUCGCUAGUAAUCGCGGAUCAGCAUGCCGCGGUGAAUACGUUCCCGGGCCUUGUACACACCGCCCGUCACACCAUGGGAGUUUGUAACGCCCAAAGUCGGUGGCCUAACCUUUAUGGAGGGAGCCGCCUAAGGCGGGACAGAUGACUGGGGUGAAGUCGUAACAAGGUAUC
rnacentral:rRNA from 1 species